rnacentral:lncRNA from 1 species
CCCCCCUUUUUUUUGCCAUAACUAAACAUACAGAUAUAAGUCCCUGUGGCAUUUUCUACUAUACAAAAGAGAAGUUUUACUUUUUUCAUUUAACCUAAAUAAUUAAUAGGUACUAAAUCCAAUUUCUAAAAUUAAUAAUUUGACAUUCAAUAACAGGAUCCCAUAUUAAGUUAGUCGACUUAACAUUGGAGUUUUCCUAUUAGAACAUCUACUUCAAAGUGUCAUGGCGGUCACAUAUAUUUAGCCUUAUAUCAACCUCAUUAUUUUCAAAUCAAAGUUUCUCUUUAUUGCUAUUCAUUAUCUUAUAUUAAGGUCACAAAACCAUUAUACCAUCUGCCUUUUAUAUUAUGCUUAUGACUUUAGACUGAUAUAAAUACUCCCAUUCUUUAUCCAACAUCAAUGGUAAAUACAGCUUGAUAAUAUGAUUC